rnacentral:rRNA from 1 species
CCAAUCGAACUCGGAGAUAGCUGGUUCUCCCCGAAAUAGCUUUAGGGCUAGCCUCGUUUUAAAUUACCGGGGGUAGAGCACUGAAUGGGCUAGGGGGCCACAAAGCUUACCGAACCCUAUCAAACUUCGAAUACCGGAUAAUUGAUGAACGGGAGUCAGACGGCGGGAGAUAAGUUUCGUCGUCAAAAGGGAAACAGCCCAGAUCUACGACUAAGGUCCCGAAAUCACAGUUAAGUGGAAAAGGAUGUGCAGUUGCACAGACAACCAGGAUGUUGGCUUAGAAGCAGCCACUCAUUUAAAGAGUGCGUAAUAGCUCACUGGUCGAGUGAUUGUGCGCCGAAAAUGUACCGGGGCUAAACUGUGUACCGAAGUCUAGGGAUCGUGAUAAACGAUCGGUAGGGGAGCAACGUGUGCGGGCUGAAGCCGAAGCGGAAGCGACGGUGGACUGCACGGGAGAGAGAAUGCCGGCAUGAGUAGCGAGAGCAAAGUGAGAAUCUUUGCCGUCGAAAGCCUAAGGUUUCCUGAGGAAGGCUCGUCCUCUCAGGGUAAGUCAGGACCUAAGCCGAGGACAAAAGUCGUAGGCGAUGGACAACUGGUUGAUAUUCCAGUACCACCUUUAGCGUUUGACUGAAGCAGUGACACAGAAGGAUAGACAGAGCGCGUGACUGGUAGAGCGCGUCCAAGCGAUGAGGGAGUUAAGUAGUGAAGAACGCUUAACAAUCCUGGGUCGUGAUGGGGACUGAAAAUAAGUAGGGAAGCUGUUGAAUUCACGCUGGCGAGAAAAGCUGCUAAGGAGCGAAAGGGUGCCUGUACCGCAAACCGACACAGGUAGGCGAGGAGAGAAUCCUAAGACGAGCGGGAGAACCCAUGUUAAGGAACUCGGCAAAAUGACCCUGUAACUUCGGGAUAAAGGGAGCCACGAGAGUGGCCGCAGAGAAUAGGCCCAAGCGACUGUUUACCAAAAACACAGGUCUGUGCGAAGUAGAGAUACGACGUAUACGGGCUGACGCCUGCCCAGUGCCGGAAGGUUAAGGGGAAGUGUUAGGGCAACCGAAGCACGGAACUUAAGCCCCGGUGAACGGCGGCCGUAACUAUAACGGUCCUAAGGUAGCGAAAUUCCUUGUCGGGUAAGUUCCGACCCGCACGAAUGGCGUAACGACUUGGGCACUGUCUCAACAUGGGACCCGGCGAAAUUGUAGUAUGUGUGAAGAUGCACAUUACCCGCGAUAGGACGGAAAGACCCCGUAGAGCUUUACUGUAGUUUAACAUUGGAUUUCGGUAACAUAUGUACAGGAUAGGUGGGAGGCGAAGAACCAGGGACGCCAGUUUCUGGGGAGCCGACCUUGGGAUACCACUCUUGUGUUAUUGGAGUUCUAACGAAUUGCCGUGAACCGGGAUUCGGACAGUGUUAGAUGGGCAGUUUGACUGGGGCGGUCGCCUCCCAAAGAGUAACGGAGGCGUCCAAAGGUUCCCUCAGAAUGGUUGGAAACCAUUCGCAGAGUGUAAAGGCAGAAGGGAGCUUGACUGCGAGACCGACAGGUCGAGCAGGUGCGAAAGCAGGGCUUAGUGAUCCGGCGGUAUGAGAGUGGAAUUGCCGUCGCUCAACGGAUAAAAGCUACCUCGGGGAUAACAGGCUGAUCUCCCCCAAGAGUCCACAUCGACGGGGAGGUUUGGCACCUCGAUGUCGGCUCAUCGCAUCCUGGGGCUGUAUUCGGUCCCAAGGGUUUGGCUGUUCGCCAAUUAAAGCGGCACGCGAGCUGGGUUCAGAACGUCGUGAGACAGUUCGGUCCCUAUCCAUCGUGGGCG